GGAGAAACCAAAAAAAAUUCCUGUGACUUGCUUCACUGCAGUGGUCAGGAACCAGAACCCAGAAUAUCUGCAAGUUUCCCAAAGAUCCGCCCCUGGGCCUGAGAGAGCAAAACAUGUCAACCUGCUUUAGCAGCACUGCUACAGAAACCAGUGAAACAUGGCAGUUGAACCUGGCAAGCUCAAAACCUCCUAGCUCUAUCAGUCUGUGACUCUGACGUCUUUUGUAACAGAACUCAAGAUGGAACAACCGAACAUUUUUUUGUUAGAUCCUCUACAUAUUUUUUUCCCUGCAUAC